UCCACCCAGCUCAAUCCUUCGGGAACUAGUCUAAAACUAAGACCUCUA
rnacentral:tRNA from 1 species